rnacentral:rRNA from 1 species
CAUUUUGCACGGGCGAAAGCCUGACGCAGCGACGCCGCGUGAGGGAUGAAGGCCUUCGGGUCGUAAACCUCUGUCAGGAGGGAAUAACCGCCAUGGUGCUAAUCAGCCAUGGUCUGACGGUACCUCCAAAGGAAGCACCGGCUAACUCCGUGCCAGCAGCCGCGGUAAUA